UAGGGAAUAUUAGAAAUGGACGAAAGUCUGAUCUAGCAACACCACGUGUGCGAAGAAGGCCUUCGGGUUGUAAAGCACUUUUUGGAAGGAUUAGGAAGGAAUGUACUUCCAGAAUAAGUCUCGGCUAACUACGUACCAGCAGCCGCGGUAACACGUAGGAGGCAAACGUUAUCCGGUUUUACUGGGCGUAAAGCGCGUUUAGGUGGUUCUGUAAGUAGGGCGUGAAAGCUCCUGGCUUAACUGGGAGAGGGCGUUCUAAACUGCAGAGCUAGAGGAUGGUAGAGGGAGGUGGAAUUCCUGGUGUAGCGGUGGAAUGCGCAGAUAUCCGGAGGAACACCAGUGGCGAAAGCGGCCUCCUGGAACAUUCCUGACACUCAGACGCGAAAGCUAGGGUAGCAAACG
rnacentral:rRNA from 1 species